GACGAACGCUGGCGGCGUGCUUAACACAUGCAAGUCGAACGGAAAGGCCCUGCUUUUGCGGGGUGCUCGAGUGGCGCACGGGUGAGUAACACGUGAGUAUCCUGCCCUUUACUUUGGGAUAACUUCAGGAAACUGCGGCUACUACCUGAUACGAGCUCCUGCUGCAUGGUGGUGGUUGGAAAGCUUCGGCGGUUGGGGAUGGACUCGCGGGUUAUCAGCUUGUUGGUUGGGUAGUGGCUUACCAAGGCUUCGGCGGGUAGCCGGCAUGGGAGGGUGGACGGCGACAUUGGGACUAAGGUAGGGAGCAGUGGGGAACAGGAGGCAGCGGUGGGGAGUAUUGCACAAUGGGCGGGAGCGUGAUGCAGAGACGCCGCGUGCGGGAUGACGGCCUACGGGGUGUAAACCGCUUUCGCCUGUGACGUAGCGGUAGUGACGGUAAUGGGUAAAGAAGCACCGGCUAACUACGUG
rnacentral:rRNA from 1 species